CUACAGGUGAAGCACAAUGGACUCAUUCAGGAGAUGAAGCACCCAACAGCUGGAUACAUCUCUGUACCAGGACCCGCGGUGCGUUACAGCAGCUUCCCCCCCCUCGGAGGCCACGCCCCCUCCUCUGAUUGGUCAACACACGGUCCAGGUGCUGAGAGACACUCUGUCCUACACUGAUGAUGUCAUCGAAUCGCUGCUGGAGUCCCGGGCCGUGGCGCAGAACGAAGUGUCCUAAUUGGCCGAGAGACAGGAAGUAAACAAUAACAACCAAUAUAAUUACAAGUAAAAGUCACUGUGAGACUUUUUGAGGUAUUUUUAAGAUUUUCCUGGUUAAAUUAAUGUUUUAUUUACGUAUUAAACAUUUUAUUAAUGUGCUUUAAAGAUAACAAUGCAAAACUAGACUUUAGAAACAGAAAUAUGUGUUUAUUUUGUUAUAUUUAAAUUCAUUUUACAGGUAAAUGCAGCUAAAAUGGACUAAAAACACAAAAGAAAGACUCCAUUCCUCAGGAUUUGAAGCCGUAUUUUUAACAUUAUUAAAUGUAAUCCUCACUUUGAAUGCUAUAUUUAAAACACUCCUGAUUUGUUUGCACUUGUUUGAUUGUAAAAGAUAAAAGUGUUAUUUUUGCACUCAAUAAAAAAUACGUUUUAA